rnacentral:tmRNA from 1 species
GGGGCUGAUUCUGGAUUCGACGGGAUUUGCGAAACCCAAGGUGCAUGCCGAGGGGCGGUUGGCCUCGUAAAAAGCCGCAAAAAAUAGUCGCAAACGACGAAAACUACGCUUUAGCAGCUUAAUAACCUGCUUAGAGCCCUCUCUCCCUAGCCUCCGCUCUUAGGACGGGGAUCAAGAGAGGUCAAACCCAAAAGAGAUCGCGUGGAAGCCCUGCCUGGGGUUGAAGCGUUAAAACUUAAUCAGGCUAGUUUGUUAGUGGCGUGUCCGUCCGCAGCUGGCAAGCGAAUGUAAAGACUGACUAAGCAUGUAGUACCGAGGAUGUAGGAAUUUCGGACGCGGGUUCAA